GUCCACACUGUAAACGAUGAUUACUCGAUGUUGGCGAUACACAGCCAGCGUCUUAGCGAAAGCGAUAAGUAAUCCACCUGGGGAGUACGCCCGCAAGGGUGAAACUCAAAGGAAUUGACGGGGUCGCACAAGCGGUGGAGCAUGUGGUUUAAUUCGAUGAUACGCGAGGAACCUUACCUGGGCUAGAAUGCCCUUGACAGAUCCAGAGAUGGAUUCUUCCGCAAGGACAAGGAGCAAGGUGCUGCAUGGCUGUCGU
rnacentral:rRNA from 1 species